AUCGUCUAAUGGUUAGGAUAUCUGGCUUUCACCUAGGAGGCCCGAGUUCGAUUCCCGGU
rnacentral:tRNA from 1 species